GUAGCUCGGCCUCCCAUACUGUGGCUUCCUGGGGGACCCUUCCCCACCAUAACCAUACCCGCCACCUUGUUCCUCUCCGAAGCUAGGUUUCCGACCGUACCCAGAUCCAUAUUCAGAACUCGGUGCUUCGUACUCAGGCCUCCGACCAUACCCAGAUCCAUACUCCGAACUGGGCUGCUCGAACUCGGGCCUCCGACCAUACCCAGAUCCAUACUCCGAACUAGGUUGCUCGUAUUCAGGCUUCCGACCGUACCCAGAUCCAUAUUCCGUGCUAGGCUGUUCGUAUUCAGGCUUCCGACCGUACCCAGAUCCAUAUUCCGAGCUAGGCUGUUCGUAUUCAGGCUUCCGACCGUACCCAGAUCCAUAUUCCGAGCUAGGCUGUUCGUAUUCAGGCUUCCGACCGUAGCCAGAUCCAUAUUCCGAGCUAGGCUGUUCGCAUUCAGGCUUCCGACCGUACCCGGAUCCGUACUCCGAACUGGGUUCCUCGUAAUCAGGCUUCCGCCCAUGCCCAGAUCCAUACUCACCCUCCCCACCAAAACUCGAC
rnacentral:lncRNA from 1 species